UACGGAGGGUGCGAGCGUUGCUCGGAAUUACUGGGCGUAAAGGGCGCGUAGGCGGACAGUUUAGUCAGAGGUGAAAGCCCAGGGCUCAACCUUGGAAUAGCCUUUGAUACAGCACGUCUUGAGUCCGGAAGAGGUGGGUGGAAUUCCUAGUGUGGAGGUGGAAUUCGUAGAUAUUAGGAAGAACACCGGUGGCGAAGGCGGCCCACUGGUCCGGUACUGACGCUGAGGUGCGAAAGCGUGGGGAGCAAACAGG
rnacentral:rRNA from 1 species